CCAUCAGUGCGGUACAUCCUGACCUGCCCCACCCUGUGGGCAGCGUGUGAUGAGCGGAGCGUGAUGACGUGUGAUUACAUCACAGGGGGCCAUGGGAACGUAACACCCGCAGGCCUGUUCUCUGAC
rfam:Cathartes aura contig198610, whole genome shotgun sequence.